rnacentral:rRNA from 1 species
UAGGGAAUCUUCGGCAAUGGACGAAAGUCUGACCGAGCAACGCCGCGUGAGUGAAGAAGGUUUUCGGAUCGUAAAACUCUGUUGUUAGAGAAGAACAAGGACGUUAGUAACUGAACGUCCCCUGACGGUAUCUAACCAGAAAGCCACGGCUAACUACGUGCCAGCAGCCGCGGUAAUACGUAGGUGGCAAGCGUUGUCCGGAUUUAUUGGGCGUAAAGCGAGCGCAGGCGGUUUCUUAAGUCUGAUGUGAAAGCCCCCGGCUCAACCGGGGAGGGUCAUUGGAAGCGGGGAGACUUGAGUGCAGAAGAGGAGAGUGGAAUUCCAUGUGUAGCGGUGAAAUGCGUAGAUAUAUGGAGGAACACCAGUGGCGAAGGCGGCUCUCUGGUCUGUAACUGACGCUGAGGCUCGAAAGCGUGGGGAGCAAACAGG